rnacentral:rRNA from 1 species
UACGAAGGGGGCUAGCGUUGCUCGGAAUCACUGGGCGUAAAGGGUGCGUAGGCGGGUUUUUAAGUCAGGGGUGAAAUCCUGGAGCUCAACUCCAGAACUGCCUUUGAUACUGAAGAUCUCGAGUCCGGGAGAGGUGAGUGGAACUGCGAGUGUAGAGGUGAAAUUCGUAGAUAUUCGCAAGAACACCAGUGGCGAAGGCGGCUCACUGGCCCGGUACUGACGCUGAGGCACGAAAAGCGUGGGGGAGCAAACAGG